UACGUAGGGUGCAAGCGUUGUCCGGAAUUAUUGGGCGUAAAGAGCUCGUAGGCGGUCUGUCGCGUCGGCUGUGAAAACCCGAGGCUCAACCUCGGGCCUGCAGUCGAUACGGGCGGACUAGAGUGUUGCAGGGGAGACUGGAAUUCCUGGUGUAGCGGUGAAAUGCGCAGAUAUCAGGAGGAACACCGGUGGCGAAGGCGGGUCUCUGGGCAACUACUGACGCUGAGGAGCGAAAGCGUGGGGAGCGAACAGG
rnacentral:rRNA from 1 species